GAGUAUAUAGCUCAGUGGUAAAGCAUGUGUUUAGCAUGCACAAGGUCCUGGGUUCAAUCCCCAGUACCUCCU
rnacentral:tRNA from 1 species